CGAACGCUGGCGGCGUGCUUAACACAUGCAAGUCGAACGGAAAGGCCCUGCUUUUGUGGGGUGCUCGAGUGGCGAACGGGUGAGUAACACGUGAGUAACCUGCCCUUGACUUUGGGAUAACUUCAGGAAACUGGGGCUAAUACCGGAUAGGAGCUCCUGCUGCAUGGUGGGGGUUGGAAAGUUUCGGCGGUUGGGGAUGGACUCGCGGCUUAUCAGCUUGUUGGUGGGGUAGUGGCUUACCAAGGCUUUGACGGGUAGCCGGCCUGAGAGGGUGACCGGCCACAUUGGGACUGAGAUACGGCCCAGACUCCUACGGGAGGCAGCAGUGGGGAAUAUUGCACAAUGGGCGGAAGCCUGAUGCAGCAACGCCGCGUGCGGGAUGACGGCCUUCGGGUUGUAAACCGCUUUCGCCUGUGACGAAGCGUGAGUGACGGUAAUGGGUAAAGAAGCACCGGCUAACUACGUGCCAGCAGCCGCGGUGAUACGUAGGGUGCGAGCGUUGUCCGGAUUUAUUGGGCGUAAAGGGCUCGUAGGUGGUUGAUCGCGUCGGAAGUGUAAUCUUGGGGCUUAACCCUGAGCGUGCUUUCGAUACGGGUUGACUUGAGGAAGGUAGGGGAGAAUGGAAUUCCUGGUGGAGCGGUGGAAUGCGCAGAUAUCAGGAGGAACACCAGUGGCGAAGGCGGUUCUCUGGGCCUUUCCUGACGCUGAGGAGCGAAAGCGUGGGGAGCGAACAGGCUUAGAUACCCUGGUAGUCCACGCUGUAAACGGUGGGUACUAGGUGUGGGGUCCAUUCCACGGGUUCCGUGCCGUAGCUAACGCUUUAAGUACCCCGCCUGGGGAGUACGGCCGCAAGGCUAAAACUCAAAGGAAUUGACGGGGCCCCGCACAAGCGGCGGAGCAUGCGGAUUAACUCGAUGCAACGCGUAGAACCUUACCUGGGUUUGACAUGGAUCGGGAGUGCUCAGAGAUGGGUGUGCCUCUUUUGGGGUCGGUUCACAGGUGGUGCAUGGCUGUCGUCAGCUCGUGUCGUGAGAUGUUGGGUUAAGUCCCGCAACGAGCGCAACCCUUGUUCACUGUUGCCAGCACGUUAUGGUGGGGACUCAGUGGAGACCGCCGGGGUCAACUCGGAGGAAGGUGGGGAUGACGUCAAGUCAUCAUGCCCCUUAUGUCCAGGGCUUCACGCAUGCUACAAUGGCUGGUACAGAGAGUGGCGAGCCUGUGAGGGUGAGCGAAUCUCGGAAAGCCGGUCUCAGUUCGGAUUGGGGUCUGCAACUCGACCUCAUGAAGUCGGAGUCGCUAGUAAUCGCAGAUCAGCAACGCUGCGGUGAAUACGUUCCCGGGGCUUGUACACACCGCCCGUCAAGUCAUGAAAGUUGGUAACACCCGAAGCCGGUGGCCUAACCGUUGUGGGGGAGCCGUCGAAGGUGGGACAGGUGAUUAGGACUA
rnacentral:rRNA from 1 species